GACGUAGGGCGCGAGCGUUUGUCCGGAUUUAUUGGGCGUAAAGAGCUCGUAGGCGGCUCGUUGCGUCGGCUGUGAAAACCCACAGCUUAACUGUGGGCCUGCAGCCGAUACGGGCGAGCUAGAGUUCGGUAGGGGAGACUGGAAUUCCUGGUGUAGCGGUGAAAUGCGCAGAUAUCAGGAGGAACACCGGUGGCGAAGGCGGGUCUCUGGGCCGAUACUGACGCUGAGGAGCGAAAGCGUGGGGAGCGAACAGG
rnacentral:rRNA from 1 species